AUUGAACGCUGGCGGCAGGCCUAACACAUGCAAGUCGAGCGGAGCGGCGUACGGGUGCGUAAUGCCUAGGAAUCUGCCUUGUAGUGGGGGCUAACGUCCGGAAACGGGCGCUUAUACCGCAUACUAUCAGAUGAGCCUAGGUCGGGUUAGCUAGUUGGUGGGGUAAAGGCAUACCAAGGCGACGACCCGUAACUGGUCUGAGAGGAUGAUCAGUCACACUGGAACUGAGACACGGCCCAGACUCCUACGGGAGGCAGCAGUGGGGAAUAUUGGACAAUGGGCGAAAGCCUGAUCCAGCAAUGCCGCGUGUGUGAAGAAGGUCUUCGGAUGGUAAAGCACUUUAAGUUGGGAGGCGUUACCAAAAGAAUAAGCACCGGCUAACUACGUGCCAGCCGCCGCGGUAAUUC
rnacentral:rRNA from 1 species